ACUACUACUUCACACUCCUAAAACCAUGACAAUCCUAGACAUACUAAACUGGGAAUGAGCCCCACUGAACUCAGUGGAACUUACUUUGAGAAGGCAUGCAGAAGACUGUGAAUUGGUAGCUGGAACUCCUUCUUGGAAACCUUAGCUCAGCCAUGAACUGGGGCAUCUAGACUGUAGUUCAAGCAAAUGCAACCACCGCGAGGCAAAGAGACAAAAGUCUAUGGCAUAUAAUAAAAGUGUACUGAUAAAGAAAAGAAACAGUGCUGAAGCAAGCAAUGUGAGGGGGACGAGACAGCUGGAAGAAGGACUUCUGCCUUACAUGGAUGGGACUUCCAUGGGUGGGAUUUUCCCAGAGACAGCAAAAGGCCCAGGAGGGCAAGGGGAAGAAGAGGAACAGAUGAGUGUCUUCAGCUGUCUCCAGGAAAGUACCCUCAGAAAUGGCAUUGUGUGCCAGAGAGGGCACAUGUGCCAUAGAAGAUGCAAGUGCAUAGAGUCUGCUCCUCCAGUUCCAGGUGAGAACUUCAGGAUCUGCAAAGUUUAACUGCAUUCUGCAUUAUCAGAUGGAGAUUGCUUCUCUCUGUUGGCUGAACCAGUACUACUCAAAGUGGUGGUGUUUGGACUGGAAUUAUUGGCCUAUGUGCCAUCAGCUGCUGGUCUGUAGAGAGAUUCCAGGAAAGAAAGAAACAGUUGUAGUCAAUGAGCACAAACAUAUCAGUCCCUGACACACUGGGGGGGGGGGGGACCAACCCUGCUGGUUCCUUAUAUCAAAUAACUUAGGAAGCACUGGGCUAAACUGCUUGAACUGGUGUUUGCAGGCUGAGGGUGAUGUGAAUGGACUACAGGAAAGAGCUGCUUCUCAUCUGACAGCAGAAUCAUAGAAUCAUAAAAACAGAGUUGGAAGUGACC